UACGAAGGGUGCAAGCGUUAGUCGGAAUUACUGGGCGUAAAGCGUGCGUAGGCGGUCUCUUAAGUCCGUUGUGAAAGCCUGGGCUCAACCUGGAACUGCAGUGGAUACUGAGAAGCUAGAGUGUGUCAGAGGAUGGUGGAAUCCGUGUAGCGGUGAAUGCGUAGAGAUCGGGAGGAACAUCAGUGGCGAAGGCGGCCAUCUGGACAACACUGACGCUGAGCACGAAGCGUGGAGCAAC
rnacentral:rRNA from 1 species